rnacentral:tRNA from 1 species
GGAGUUGUGGCUCAGUGAUAGAGCACUUGCCUGGCAUGUAUGAGGCACUGGGUUCCAUUCUCAGCACCA